rnacentral:rRNA from 1 species
UACGGAGGGGGCGAGCGUUAUUCGGAAUUAUUGAACGUAAAGGGCGCGUAGGCGGCCUGAUAAGUCAAAGGUGAAAUCCCUCGGCUCAACUGAGGAACUGCCUUUGAAACUGUUAGGCUUGAGGCCGGGAGGAAGUAGCGGAAUUCCCAGUGUAGCGGUGAAAUGCGUAGAUAUUGGGAGGAACACCGAUGGCGAAGGCGGCUACCUGGACCGGUUCUGACGCUGAUGCGCGAAAGCGUGGGUAGCAAACAGG